rnacentral:rRNA from 1 species
AACGAACGCUGGCGGCAUGCCUAACACAUGCAAGUCGAACGACACCUUCGGGUCUAGUUGCGCACGGGUGCGUAACGCGUGGGAACCUGCCCUUAGGCUCCGAAUAACUCCCCGACAUGGGUGCUAAUACCGGAUAAUGCCUUCGAACCAAACAUUUAUCGCCCUUGUGUGGGCCCGCGUUGGAUUAGCUAGUUGGUAGGGUAAAAGCCUAUCAAGGCGACGAUACAUAGCUGGUCUGAGAGGAUGAUCAGCCACACUGGGACUGAGACACGGUCCAGAAUACUACGGGAGGCAGCAGUGGGGAAUAUUGGACAAUGGGGGAAAGCAUGAUCCAGCAAUGCCGCGUGAGUGAUGAAGGCCUUAGGGUUGUAAAGCUCUUUUACCCGGGAUGAUAAUGACAGUACCGGGAGAAUAAGCUCCGGCUAACUCCGUG